GCAUGCAGUCUGUCAAGUGUUCGGAUUAUCCCGGGAACCCACGAGAGCUCACGAGGCGGGGGGGCGGGCUAGAAGCCACGACAAAGCGACUAGCCAAGCUAACUUCCAGCCAUGGCACUGUCUCCGGCUACGACCUUCCACGACCACGAGAGCUCCAGCUCUGACUUUCCUGGCCCAUCACAAUCAUAACGACCUAACAGCCCAGUAGGACCGAUGGCCAGAGAUGGAGGAGGAGGAAGAUAGACGCAGCAGAGGUCGGUUUGAUUAGGGAGACUCCAACAGAAUUGACGCCCAGCUAACUGCCUUGAUUCAAUCAUUGAAUUUGAAGCAAUCCCAUCGGUUACUGCAGCGUGCCCUGACCCGUGACCCCAGUUUGAUGUUCGACCUGGCACAUGACAUCUG